rnacentral:tRNA from 1 species
AGGAUAGUAGUUCAAUUGGUAGAGCAUCGGUCUCCAAAACCGAAAGUUGCGGGUUCGAGUCCUGCCUGUCCUGCCA